rnacentral:rRNA from 1 species
UAAGCAAUUUAUACAGUGAAACUGCGAAUGGCUCAUUAAAUCAGUUAUCGUUUAUUUGAUAGUACCUUUACUACUUGGAUAACCGUGGUAAUUCUAGAGCUAAUACAUGCUAAAAAUCCCGACUGUUUGGAAGGGAUGUAUUUAUUAGAUAAAAAAUCAAUGCUUUUCGGAGCUCUUUGAUGAUUCAUAAUAACUUUUCGAAUCGCAUGGCCUUGUGCUGGCGAUGGUUCAUUCAAAUUUCUGCCCUAUCAACUUUCGAUGGUAGGAUAGUGGCCUACCAUGGUUUCAACGGGUAACGGGGAAUAAGGGUUCGAUUCCGGAGAGGGAGCCUGAGAAACGGCUACCACAUCCAAGGAAGGCAGCAGGCGCGCAAAUUACCCAAUCCCGACACGGGGAGGUAGUGACAAUAAAUAACGAUACAGGGCCCUUUCGGGUCUUGUAAUUGAAUGAGUACAUGUAAAUACCUUAACGGGAACAAUGGAGGGCAAGUCUGGUGCCAGCAGCCGCGGUAAUCCAGCUCCAAUAGCGUAUACUAAAGUUGUUGCAGUUAAAAAGCUCGUAGUUGAACCUUGGGCUUGGUUGGCCGGUCCGCCUUUUUGGCGAGUACUGGACCCAACANGAGCCUUUCCUUCUGGCUAACCUUUCGCCCUUGUGGUGUUAGGCGAACCAGNACUUUUACUUUGAAAAAAUUAGAGUGUUCAAAGCAGGCCUUUGCUCGAAUAUAUUAGCAUGGAAUAAUAGAAUAGGACGUUAUGGUUCUAUUUUGUUGGUUUCUAGGACCAUCGUAAUGAUUAAUAGGGACGGUCGGGGGCAUCAGUAUUCAGUUGUCAGAGGUGAAAUUCUUGGAUUUACUGAAGACUAACUACUGCGAAAGCAUUUGCCAAGGACGUUUUCAUUAAUCAAGAACGAAAGUUUAGGGGAUCGAAGAUGAUCAGAUACCGUCGUAGUCUUAACCAUAAACUAUGCCGACUAGGGAUCGGGUGUUGUUCUUUUUUUGACGCACUCGGCACCUUACGAGAA